rnacentral:lncRNA from 1 species
CUGAAGCUCAGCCUUCUCAGUAGCAACUCGCACCAGAAACUGACCAAAUGGGCAAUGCUCUUCUGUUUCCUUAGGUCACGUACCGCGGACCGCACGUCGCGGCUUGGUUCUGUUCGCUAUCGCAGCCUGGACAACAUUCACAGAUGGGGGAAAGCGGAAGAGGCCCUAUAGAUAGAUAGUUCCGAGACAUCGACCGUAGUAGUGGUCGUGGGUGGAUGUGUUGGUGGUAGCUUGGUAAGCGACAUAUCGUAAGAAGCGGAGUCUUCUUCGUGUGAGGUUAGAAGCAUGAUCACGUUGUCGAUCACUGCAUGGACAAACUGAAUAGUGUUAGGUCGGUCAUGAUGGAGACUGCAAGACCAGAGAUUCCCGCAUGGCUCUCGACACCAGUUUCAGAUGAGGAUCGAAACUAAAACUGCUCAACGGUGCAUCUGUGCUUUAUCUAUUGAACCAACGAGAUAGCUAAGUACGAAAAAUGCAUUGGGAUAAUUGCCAUUAUGAUAUGCGGCCUUUUGCUUACCUAGGCGUCAAACUACUGGAUGUACAUACGUACUGGCGGUCAAUAUGAGUGAGCUUCGGUAGCGGUGGGCGCCUCACUUGACAACGGCGGGUACAUCUCAUGCUCCUGCGCAGCACGACCAAUGGAGAGAAAACUGCUUGGGCCAACCAACCCUGCGCUCAACGGGUGCUCUAAUGAACAGUUUCCGUAUAUUAGUGCUACUGGAGCAUCGUCCCCACGAGCGACACCAUGCGGACGGCCACUGUACAGCUUCCCGCCAUACAGCUUUUUCCUCUAACCAAAGAGGCUUUGUGCUACUACCAGAGGCUCCAGCCUCCAUUCGGUGUUGCCAUUGUUCUGGCAUACGCCUGACGUCUGGCGAGUCAUUCAGGGAAUUCGCUGUUAAUUCGCCAAAUUCCCGCGUUUCCAAGUCUCCCCGACGCUCAUCUUGCCUGAAAGUUGGCGGGGUUUCAGCCAGCCUGGUUCCGUAGGCAACAGCGAACGUGAGUAAGGAAGGCCUCCCAUAAGCCAUGGGUUUGCUAACCGAGAUUCCUGCUGUAACAGAGAGGUAGAAGGGCCAGAAAUAGUAGCCCUCUAUUGUCUUGAUGGGUUGGCUAUCGAAGGCGGGAGGCACGCCUCACACUAUUUUGGCUCGGCCUUCAUGGCGCUUUCCUUUUCCAUGACUAAACUAGAGCACAAUGAAACUUUAGUCUUAUAGCCUUACCAAGCUCUUCCGACUGAUGGACAUGCUGAACAGGGCAAUUCGACUCGAGGCGCUAUUCAUUCACUCGUCUUAUGUAUCCUGCCUCUCGAAAGAUGCUUCUUGCACCUUUCGCGUUAUCGUGUUACCGAGAAGAACGACAGAUAACGGCGACAACGAUGGCGACGAGGGAGCAGGAGGAUCCUUGUGAUGCAAAUCAACCAGCCCUUGCUGCUACUCUCUGAGGGAAAACGGAACGACGGACCUGAGGAAGUGCGGGCCAAGAAAUGGCGGAGGGCGCUAUGAGAGACGGAAUGGGGGUAGCCGAAAGGGCUCGCUGCAUGAAGAACAUCGUGAACGAGCGUGCGCACCAAAGGAAAUGUAAGAGGUGAAUCCACGAAAAUGCAAGACCGAAUAGGAGGAAAGGCCAAGUACGCGACACAGCGGUGGGCACAAGGUGACCUUUUACAGUGAGCACAGAUGAACAGGACAGGACAGCUCGCACUGGAAGAUCGCUGAAUGAGCUCUCACAUGUUUGAGGCAGAAUGAGAAACCUCACAUGAGUCACGUGUGUCCACUUUAACAGGCCAAUUGAAGAUGAGAAGGCUCACAACACAAACUGUGCCAAAGGACAUGAAUUUCAAGUAAAAGCAGACCCAUCGACAAUUCUCUCAGAGAAACCGAUGCGUCAUUAGAAACGACCACACGUGCGUGCACAGGUAUGACAUGGAGUCAAGACUACAAUAGUUGGGGUAUCGCUGCGAAGGCGAGCCCAGACCGAAUAUCCGAAUCAAAAAUUACACGUUUCCUCGUACUUUUCGACUAUCAGAGCGUCGUGCUUUAUGGUUUCAUGCUGAGUGACUCUAUUGACUUGGAUGUACUUACAAGAACUUUCGCGAAGAUUGGGUAAUGCUAUCUAUUAAAACAUGCCUAAAUUGUGGAACAAUAAGUCAUGGAUUCCUCGACAUGAUAUUGUGCCAAAUGUACGUCGCAAUUUGUAUUGUAUCCUUGCAAAAAAGCUAGUGCCAAUGUUACCCUGAACUCCAGAGUGAACCUCAACAUCCAAACGUAAAUACUCUCUCCCAAAGCUUAAGAAACACUCGAAAGGAGGUUAAUAAGGGGAAUUAAAAAAAAAAAAAGUGACAGAAAAACCUCUAUAGUUAAUUUCGAAAACUGUAACCACCAUAAAAGCGAUUAUGCGUGUGAAUUUAAGCAGACUGAGGCUAUUUGGGGAAGGUAUCGGACGACUGAAGUAGUUGCAGUUGGCUCAGGAUAAAAUCUUGGACUUUGAUCCAGAAGUGCUAUCCACAUCAAAAGUGUACUUUAUGUUGCGGUCCGGUCGUUGCCUUUAAACACACAGCUACAACUACAUAAAACUAAAUUUACUGUGAAACACCUUUUUUAAGCGUGCGUCAGCGAAUACUACAUUUUUUUUUCUGAGUACCAGUUCCUCUGUUAUAUGUCCUUUGGAAUCAUUAUGCCUAAAACUGGACCAGUUGGACGUUCGAGUGCGAAAACUGUGUUGACAGUUUACGUGGUAAAAUACGCCCGAGUAAAACAGGAGAAGAUACAAAGUCAUUUAACGCAACGACCUAAUGUACAAUUAGCGUUUAUGUAUAUAAACUACAGAUAACAAUAGAUAUACAAUAUAAGGAUAAUAUUAACUCUUUCACUUUCUUAUAGUUAUCGUUAGCUUAACCACCUUUAACAUGUAUACGUCAGACGUACAUUUUACCCUGGACAAUUUAGUAGAAACUGGUUUGACAGCAUAUGGCCUGUAUAAGUUGAUAAAGCAAAUCCUAUAUAUGAUAGACUAAAGCUUUCAACACAUUUUCUCUUUUUU